rnacentral:rRNA from 1 species
UACGUAGGGUGCAAGCGUUAAUCGGAAUUACUGGGCGUAAAGCGUGCGCAGGCGGUUUUGUAAGGCUGUCGGGAAAUCCCCGGGCUCAACCUGGGAAUUGCGAUGGAGACUGCAAGGCUAGAAUCUGGCAGAGGGGGGUAGAAUUCCACGUGUAGCAGUGAAAUGCGUAGAGAUGUGGAGGAACACCGAUGGCGAAGGCAGCCCCCUGGGUCAAGAUUGACGCUCAUGCACGAAAGCGUGGGGAGCAAACAGG